rnacentral:rRNA from 1 species
UACGGAGGGUGCGAGCGUUAAUCGGAAUUACUGGGCGUAAAGCGCACGCAGGCGGUUUGUUAAGCUAGAUGUGAAAGCCCCGGGCUCAACCUGGGAUGGUCAUUUAGAACUGGCAGACUCGAGUCUUGGAGGGGGGGGUGGAAUUCCAGGUGUAGCGGNGAAAUGCGUAGAUAUCUGGAGGAACAUCAGUGGCGAAGGCGACUCCCUGGCCAAAGACUGACGCUCAUGUGCGAAAGUGUGGGUAGCGAACAGG